CUUCUCAAGUUUCCUUCCUUCACACGAGAGACUCUCGGUUUCCUCUAGUUCGCACGUUCUCUCUCUUUUCUUCAAGCCGAUCUCUCCUAUUUCUUAAACCUAAGAUUUCUACCGAAAAUCUUCAAGGAAAUCAACCUCAUAAGUGAAUUUCUAUGACUCUAAUCUCUAGUUUGGAAUCUUAGAUCUAUGGGUUUAACCUAGGGUUUUAUUUAGGAAAUUUUCUAUUGUGUUCCAGCCUUGGAUCUUUCGGAUUUCUCUUCCUUUUCUCAUUUGUUGUUCGUUUUGUGGCUUGAAAGGGGACCAAAACAGGAGUUUAUUUUCAAGAUUCAAGGAACCUACUUGUAAAGGAACGAGGUAUGGAUGAAGAGGUUGUGGAGCUAGGCACUACCAAGGAGGGAGGGGCCAAUGCUUAGAGUUUCCUUGAAAGUUUGACUUUGAUGAUGAUGAUUUAUGUUUUUAUGUUUUACGGUGGGUCCCCUAUUGGGAUGUUUUGUUGGAUUAACAUUAAGACAAUAUGCAUUUGGGCAUGAUGUAAAUACUAUGGUGGGGUGAUAGUAACCCCACAUAUGAUGGUUAACACCUUUUUGGUAUGUGUUGUAGGGACUGAGUCCCCUCUUAUUUAGAACUAGUUAUGCUUAA